GGCAGUGUAGCAUAGUGGUUAUGGAGUAGGACUCGUGACCAAAAAGUUGCCGGUUCGAUUCCCCGCUGGUG